AUGGCUUCGAUGAACAGAAAAUCUGCGUCGUAUCAGGGUUGUCUGUGCCAUAACACGGACACAACUCUUUUAGUUUGAAUAAUAAAUUCCAGGAAGACAAUGGGAUUUUAACACUAUUAACAGAAUUAGCAAGUUUUAACGGACAUUUGCCGUGGGAGAAAACAAAACUGUCAGAAAAAAACAACACGAAGAAUUUCACUAUAUUGAAAGAUAUUAUUGGAAAGCGAUAGAAUAAUACUUGAAUUCGGACAGAGCUUUAUUGAAGUAGCCGUUGGACAUGUAAUGAUAAAAGACAAGCCGUAGACUAUAGUUGGGUGUACUGUAAAACUAAAUUUCAAAAGCAGGAAAAAAUACGUUUACAAAAGAAUGUACAAACAUGAGACCAACACAAACCAAUUUAAGGAGAUCAGGUAGACAAUGAAUGGAAACUGAGUGCUCUACUCACAUCGCAAACAAUGAAAUCCGAGUGUUAGAGGAGAUAUACCCCGAUCUUUACAUGAAACAUGUCACAAUUUGUCGAGAAAUAGAAUAUAACUUGUAAUACAGAAAAUUGUGUAUUUACUUGAAUAUCAACAUUUCAUAUUAUUUGACAAUAAGUCCAGCUGCUUCACAGUAAACAAUGUAGGCCUACAUCUAUUAGUAAACAUUACAUUAAAUGAUUAACUGCUGGUGUGUGCUGGUACAUGAAUAUGCCACUUGUGAACCUUAAACAUGCAUUAUGCAAGAGCUAAAUCUGCCUAUCGCAGGUCUUUCUUUAGGCCUGAAAUCUUAUCUAAAUUAUUAAUUAGACAUUAAUUAACUUAUCCAGACCAUAAUCAACUCUCGAUGUCAAGGCUAGCCUUCGAUAUCGACUGGAUUAGAAUCCUAUAUGCUGCAAACGCUCAUUGAUAAUUAAAUCAAAACAUUGGAUAAUCGAGACUAUGCUUUUUAACGUACUAACUUUAGUAAUGAUGAACGAGGCUAGGCGGAAAUUUACAAAGCUGAUAUCUCGGUUCAUAGUGGACCAAUUUGACUGAAAUUUUCAACAAAUUACCUUUACAUUAUCUAGUUUUUAACUAUUAUAGCGAGAACUGUCAGCUCUUUAUCUAAUCUCCCAUAAUGUAUCUUUAACGAAUUUUAAAAUCCUAUGACAACUAUGUACAUGAGACUUUGUCAGUGGGAAAUAAUAAACAAAAUAAUUUUGUUAUGGUGUUAUAAUCAGAUUAAAGAUACAUUAUGUAAGUUUUAGAUAAAGAGCUAGUCAUUCUAGCUUUAAUAGUUCGAAAAUAGAUAAUGCAAAAUUAAUAUUUUAAAAUUUUCGUUCAAAUUACUCUAUUGCGAGCGAAGAUAUUAGCCUUUGACGAUUUGACAAGAUGUGUGCAUUAAUUGUAACCACCAUACUGGUUGUUCGAAGCUAAGUCUCGCCUCUCCCAAUGGCAUCGAAAGUUGAUUAUGGUCUUGUUAUGUCAAAAAAUGUCUAAUUAAUAGUUUAUAUAUCAUUUCAGGCCUAAAAAAGACCUGCAAUAGGCAGAUUUAGCUCUUGCAUAAUGUAUAUUUAAUACAGAUCAUUCAAAAAUCAUGUAAAUCUAACAAUAUUCUGCAAACCUUUUUAUUGGUUUAUUUAUUCUUAUGAUUAAACAGUAUAUUUAAUUAUACUUAAAACCCAAAUCCAUUCCGAGUGGAUCUGCAACAAUUAAGCCUACUGCGAACAGUACACAAACACAGUGCAAAUGAUCGAAUAUGUCAAAGUGAAUAAUAAGUGUUUUAUUUGUCUUUUGAACUGUAUGUUGCACUAACAAAUAUUUGUUUAUAUAGGCCUUGGUCCACAUCCAUAUGUUAAAUAGACUUCAAGUGGAAACCACUUGAUGUUUAUAAUAAUUUAAAUUUGAAGUAAAUGUACCAUUAAUUGAUCAGCUGAUUAGUAGUACUCUAGCUAGGUCAUAAACCAUGUAUUUGGUAUACAUGUAGAAUUGUAUAUGUACACAGUUAAAUCCUCUUUUUCUUGAUCUGUCACAUGAUUUAUUAUUUUGUUGAUUGAUAAAUUUGAUUCUCCACUGA